GGACAGGGUUAAAGUCAAUGAGUUCAAGAGAAGUAGAAGGGGGUGCUGGAUGUCAGCAGUUUCAUUCUCUCCCGUGCUGCAGAGUGUUUGUGGCUACUUUAUCACAUGCUCUGGGUGUUAACAUUCCAUUCUUUGGAAGCGAAGGAACAGAAGGAACAGUGCACCACUUCCGUCUUCUUUGUUCCGUUCUGUUGUUCUCUCUUGGAGGACUACCCCCCAUGCCGCUUUCAUUGGAAAAGGGGUGUGGUUUUAGUAGCCCAGUCGCCCCUCCCCUUCCCAUUGUGCUCUGCCCCUUUCCCUGCAAGGGUUCAGGUGAGUGCAAAAUGCCUUGGGGCGCAGCAAACUUGAGGGAUUGGGGGGAGGAUGCAAUGCCAGUGGGAUGAUGGAGGGGGAGACAGCAGGCAGGGAAGCUGCUGGGCAGGUGGGGGAGGGAGAAUGAAAGGAGGUGGGCGCGCAGCUGAGGGGGCCCCCCUCCCAUUUUGAGUAUUCCCAAUAGCAGUAUGGAUACUAUAAACACAUGCAGAAAGACAAACGUUUCCUAAAUUUCAGCUGAGUUUCCUGCAUUCCAGAACAACGUAUAUAUAUUUUUAUUAGGUUUACUUGGGUUUGGUGCUUUCUCUCUGCAUGUCAUUCCUUGAAAAGCUUCCUGCGCAAAGAUAAGGCUUGCUUUCAUUGCUCUGUUCAUUUGUGCAUUUGACUAGUGUUGUGUGGAGGGAAAUGUAAACACUGGGCUGAAAAAUGUCCCCCUCCUGCCCUCCUGUGUUUCAAAUUCUAGAAUAAGAAACUGCCUCUUUCCCCUCAGCUGCUGUGUCUUGUCUGUGGCAUCACAGGAGACCAUACAUAGACAGGGCUGAGGAAACUAGGCCUCAAGGGGGAGGGCAUUUGUUAAUAAAGAAAUGAUGACAGAGUACCCCCCUCCCUUGUGACGCGUGUGGCAUGUGGACUCCAUGGCACCCUCAGAAGCCCUCCUUAGCACCCACCAAGGCCCCCUGACCCUCCCAUUUAAAAAAAGUUUUCCAUAAUCUGUUAGUUUGUACAGUGCUGCAAGACUGUUUGUUUCGACAGUUGAGGGAUUGGUAUUAUUUAUUUAUUUUGCCCUCUGUGAGAGAUAACUAACUGGUUCCUUUGACUUAAGGUCUCUGGAUCCUUUUAAAUAAAGUGAUCUGGACAAAAUGAGUGAAUUAGGAAAUCUUUUUAUUAUUGGUUGUUUAGUCAUUUAGUCGUGUCCCAACUCUUCGUGACCCCAUGGACCAGAGCACGCCAGGCACUCCUGUCUUCCACUGCCUCCCGCAGUUUGGUCAAAUUCAUGCUGGUAGCUUCGAGAACACUGUCCAACCAUCUCGUCCUCUGUCGUCCCCUUCUCCUUGUGCCCUCAAUCUUUCCCAACAUCAGGGUCUUUUCCAGGGAGUCUUCUCUUCUCAUGAGGUGGCCAAAGUAUUGGCGUCUUAGCUUAAGGAUUUUGCAAAUGGGGUAAGCCAAGAUCAGGCACAUCUUCAUCAGGAAAAACACAUCUUAUAAAGUUGCUUGUCCAGCCACAAGUUGCUUCCACACCCACAAGAAGGGGCGUGCCAGUUUACAGAAGUAUUGUGUUCACCUCAUUGACAUUUUACUAUUCCAUUUCCCAUGUUAAUCCUAAUACAACACAACACAAAACAAUACAAUACAAUAACCUUUAUUGGCAUUUCAAGUUAAAGCAUUUCAAAAUGGCAUGAGAUAGAAAGUCUUUCUUCUUCCUGUUUCCUGUUUCUAAGAGAUUUGAAUGGGGAAAUCCUUUCGAUUCCUCUAUAAUAAGAGGUAGUGGGGUGAGGGAGGCCAGGGCCACAUCCACACCAUUUAACGCGCUAUGAAGCUGCUUUGAACACUCAUGGCUUCUUCCCCCAAAGAAUCUGGGAGCUAUAGUUGGAAAAGGGUGCGGAGAGUUGUUAGGAGACCCCCUGUUCCCUGCCAAUAAGGGAACCCUACCCCUACGCCUGAUGCUAACCUAAUGCUAACCCUUAAACCUUAACUAGAGCUACAAUUCCCAGAGUUCCCUGGCAAGAAGGGAACUCCACCCUAACCCUACCCCUGACGCUAUCCCUAACUCUAACCCUAACGUUAACUAGAGCUACAAUUCCCAGAGUUCCCUGCAAAGAAGGGAACCCUACUCCUAGCCCUGACACUAACCCUAACUCUAACCCUAACCCUGCUAACUCUAACCCUUAACCCUUAACUAGAGCUACAAUUCCCAGAGUUCCCUGACAAGAAGGGAACCCUUCCCCUACCCCUAACUCUACCCCAACCCUACCCCUACCCCUUACUCUAACCUUAAUCCUGUACCACCCUAGCAACUCUCCGUCCCCUUAACCACCUACAGUUCCCAGAAUCCCUGAGGGGAAGCCAUUCCUGUUCAAAGUGUCUUCAUAGCCCUUUCAGUGGACGGUGCACCUAAUGUGGCCUAAUGUUUCCUCCCUCAUUUUCUUCUCUCUCCCCACUGCCCCAUCACUUGCAAUGCAGCAGAUGUCCGCCUGCAGUCUCCCUUCAAAGCUUCUUCUCUCAGGUAUGGCCACGGCCUUGUCCAUUGCUCACUGCCAGUAUUUCACGUUCAUUUCUCUGAUGUAAAUAGGGAUGUCCUGCGGUUCUCUUCAUGACUUUGAAGGCUGGAUUUGGGGAAAACCUCACCGGCUCCGGACAUCCCUGUAAGGCAAAGGCAAACAGGUGAGUGGGAUGGCCCCCAUCCGACAGCGUCCCCCCAGACUCUUCCUGUUUGGCUGCCUGUGAACAAACAAGGCUUCCAAACCAGUUUGCAUCCAUCUCAGCCAGCGUAGCUUCGCGGCAUCCACUAGCCUGAAUGCAAUCUCUUCUGACAACCAUCCACCAGCUGCAGCCUCUCCAGGUCCAUUGCCAGACAUCAACCAGCUUGGAA